rnacentral:rRNA from 1 species
AGAGUUUGAUCAUGGCUCAGAUUGAACGCUGGCGGCAUGCCUUACACAUGCAAGUCGAACGGUAACGCGGGGCAACCUGGCGACGAGUGGCGAACGGGUGAGUAAUACAUCGGAACGUGCCCAGUAGUGGGGGAUAGCCCGGCGAAAGCCGGAUUAAUACCGCAUACGACCUACGGGUGAAAGGGGGGGAUCGCAAGACCUCUCGCUAUCGGAGCGGCCGAUGUCAGAUUAGGUAGUUGGUGGGGUAAAGGCCUACCAAGCCGACGAUCUGUAGCUGGUCUGAGAGGACGACCAGCCACACUGGGACUGAGACACGGCCCAGACUCCUACGGGAGGCAGCAGUGGGGAAUUUUGGACAAUGGGCGAAAGCCUGAUCCAGCCAUGCCGCGUGCGGGAAGAAGGCCUUCGGGUUGUAAACCGCUUUUGUCAGGGAAGAAACGUCUUGGACUAAUACUCCGAGAUAAUGACGGUACCUGAAGAAUAAGCACCGGCUAACUACGUGCCAGCAGCCGCGGUAAUACGUAGGGUGCAAGCGUUAAUCGGAAUUACUGGGCGUAAAGCGUGCGCAGGCGGUCGUACAAGACAGAUGUGAAAUCCCCGGGCUUAACCUGGGAACUGCAUUUGUGACUGUACGGCUGGAGUGCGGCAGAGGGGGAUGGAAUUCCGCGUAGCAGUGAAAUGCGUAGAUAUGCGGAGGAACACCGAUGGCGAAGGCAAUCCCCUGGGCCUGCACUGACGCUCAUGCACGAAAGCGUGGGGAGCAAACAGGAUUAGAUACCCUAGUAGUCC